AUCCAGCUAAUGAGUUCAAAAUAGGACGAGACGCUCGUCCUGGAU
rnacentral:hammerhead_ribozyme from 1 species